rnacentral:misc_RNA from 1 species
GAUGAAGAACGCAGCGAAAUGCGAUAAGUAAUGUGAAUUGCAGAAUUCAGUGAAUCAUCGAAUCUUUGAACGCACAUUGCGCCCGCCAGUAUUCUGGCGGGCAUGCCUGUUCGAGCGUCAUUUCAACCCUCAAGACCCCUUCGGGGGACUUGGUGUUGGGGACCGGCACAGGGGCCUGCCUGCUUGUCUUGCAGCGCCCUCGCCGCCCCCGAAAUGAAUUGGCGGCCUCGUCGCGGCCUCCCCUGCGUAGUAGCACAAACCUCGCAACGGGAACGUGACGGCGGCCACUGCCGUAAAACAACCCAAUUUUAUUAGAGUUGACCUCGAAUCGGGUAGGAAUACCCGCUGAACUUAAGCAUAUCAAUAAGCGGAGGA